rnacentral:rRNA from 1 species
GACUAAGCCAUGCGAGUCAACUCCGCAAGGGGUGGCGCACGGCUCAGUAACACGUAGUCAAUCUGCCCUAGGGACGUGGAUAACNACGGGAAACUGUGGCUAAACCGCGAUAGGCCAUAGCUCCUGGAAUGGGCUGUGGCUCAAACCUAUAUUNGCCCUAGGAUGAGACUGCGGCCGAUCAGGCUGUUGGUGGGGUAAUGGCCCACCAAACCUAUAACCGGUACGGGCUCUGAGAGGAGGAGCCCGGAGAUGGGCACUGAGACAAGGGCCCAGGUCCUAUGGGACGCAGCAGGCGCGAAACCUUCGCAAUAGGCGAAAGCCUGACGAGGUUAAUCCGAGUGGCUCCUGCUAAAGGAACCUUUUGCCAGCCCUAAAAACGCUGGUGAAUAAGGGGUGGGCAAGCCUGGUGUCAGCCGCCGCGGUAAUACCAGCACCCCGAGUGGUCGGGACGAUUAUUUGGCCUAAAACAUCCGUAGCCGGCGUGGUAAGUCUUCCGUUAAAUCCAACUGCUCAACAGUUGGGCUGCGGGAGAUACUGCCACGCUAGGANGCGGGAGAGGCGAGNGGUAUUCCACGGGUAGGGGUAAAAUCCUCUGAUCCGUGGAGGACCACCAGUGGCGAAAGCGCCUCGCCAGAACGCGCUCGACGGUAGGGGAUGAAAGCUGGGGGAGCAAACCGGAUUAGAUACCCGGGUAGUCCCAGCUGUAAACGAUGUAGGCUCGGUGA